rnacentral:lncRNA from 1 species
CUCACGCACAGCCAGGAGCAAGUAGGGCUGGAUUAACAGGGUGUGCCCUGCGGCCUCCCGGCCUUUCUUUGGCUGCUCCUCUCCAGGGAGAGCCUCCUGCUUUGAGCCAAAGGCUUCCUUUCAGCACAGACCUGUGCGGUGCCAGCCACUGUGACCUCCUAGGGCCAGGUCGGUGGUGGUGGUGGGGGCCCAGGGCGGUUUCCUAGGGGUGUGACAGGACUCCUGCCUCCCCUGCCUUCCUGGGUCCUCCCCUGGGCUCGAAUUCUGCUGGGACUCUGCCUGGCCCUUCUGACCUAAUUCCAACUCACUUGCUGGGUUUUCUUGUUUUCUCCGACUCCGACUCUGCUCCGCGAGGCUGUUUUAUCACCGGGCGAUUUUAAUCUUCGUGCAGAGACUUUCUGUGGUUUCCCAUUUUCUGUUUCCUUUGAAUUUCAGCCAACGCCCGGGUGAGGUGCUGGAUCCGCUGGCUGUUUGUUGAAUUAUUCAAGGGGCUCCUGUAUUAUUCCCUUUGUGACUGCCCAUAUGGUUUCUUGCCAGAGGUGUGACUUACACGGUAAGCUGAUGGCCUACUGUGUGUCGGGUACAGACGAAGCAAAGGCUACGCAGGCAGCUUUGCCCCAAGAGAAGCUUGCUCUCGGUGGGGCCACGGCACGCUCACAGGAUCUGAGACAAUGGGUGUAAACACCACGGCCAACAGGCGAGGGGGGUGCUGCCAAGGAGAAGUCCGGGCCAAAGCGGGGAGCUGGGGGAUUCUCGAUGCCGUUGGAGAGUCCAACAACUUCAGUUCAUUUGUUCAGUCAGCAGAUACUUGCUAGAUGCUAUUCUCUGUAUUGGGAAUACAGCAAAGGAGGCCCUCACCCAUUCAUCUACGCAUCUCCCAUCCAUUUACUAUCCAUUCGUCCAUCCCUCCAUCCGUCCACCCACACGCCCACACAUAUAUGCAUGCAUCUCUCCAUCCGCCAUUCAUUCACCUGCCCAUCCGUGCUCCAUCCACUCAUGUGUCCAUGCAAACAUCCACCCACCAUUUCUUCAUGCAUCCAUCUAUCCAGCCCAUACACCAUUCAUCCAUCCCUCCAUCCACCCAUCUACCAUUCUCCAUCCAUCCAUAUCCAUCCAUCUGACCAUCUAAUGUUCAUUCAUCCACCUGUCCACUCAUCCAUCCAUCCAUCCUUCCUUCCUUCCAUCUGUCCAACCAGUCAUCCAUGCAUCCAUCCAUCCACCAUUCGUCCAUCCACCUGUCCAUUUAUCCACCCAUACGCUCUCCCAUCUACCAUGCCUCCGCCAGUCCAUCCCUCCAUGCAUAGACAGAUCCACUCUAAUACCUUCACACAGACAUUCCUUCAGAUGCCGUGGAUAAAGCAGUAAACAGAACAGACCCUACUGUCAUGGAGCUUGGUGAGCAAGAAGAGUGAGAUUGGCCUAUAGUAAAGCAGAGGAUGGUGUCCAAAGGACACGAGUCCUCCCCAAAAUAAACAAGAUAAUUUUAGCUGAUGACAACUUCUAUGGAAAAUAAAACAGAGAGAAAGGACAAAGUGUGGCUGAGGGAAGAGAGGACCGUUUGUCCAUUACAGGGCCACCAACAGCCUGGGCAAGACAGGGCUCCACCCGCCCCACCCAGAAGGGAGCAGUGCUUCAGGUGGUGUGGGGGCAGGACCGGUCCUCACGUCUCUGAGUGACGACCUGGGGCCGGGUGUUUGAGGCCAAGCAGUGCCGCCUGUCCCUCACAGGUGGGGGACUGACCAGCUGGUGUUUGCGGUCCUGCAGGACAAGGACUGAAUGAAUAACGAGUCUGGCCAGCAGUCAGCAGCCUGCAGGACAGGGCCGAGCGCGGCUCCAUUUCCCUUUCUUGGCUGCACAAAUCAAUAAAGGAUUAGACCCGGCUCUUGUCAUUGACAUUGAUUGAUUUUAGAAUUUCAAAGGAUGUUAAUUUUAAGAUGGCAGCAUUUGGGGACAUUUCAUUAU